rnacentral:rRNA from 1 species
GACGUAGGGCGCGAGCGUUGUCCGGAUUUAUUGGGCGUAAAGAGCUCGUAGGCGGCUUGUCGCGUCGAAUGUGAAAACUCGGGGCUCAACUCCGAGCUUGCAUUCGAUACGGGCAGGCUAGAGUUCGGUAGGGGAGACUGGAAUUCCUGGUGUAGCGGUGAGAUGCGCAGAUAUCAGGAGGAACACCGGUGGCGAAGGCGGGUCUCUGGGCCGAUACUGACGCUGAGGAGCGAAAGCGUGGGGAGCGAACAGG